GGCUCAUUAAAUCAGUUAUCGUUUAUUUGAUAGUACCUUACUACUUGGAUAACCGUGGUAAUUCUAGAGCUAAUACAUGCUAAAAACCUCGACUUCGGAAGGGGUGUAUUUAUUAGAUAAAAAACCAAUGCCCUUCGGGGCUCCUUGGUGAUUCAUAAUAACUUAACGAAUCGCAUGGCCUUGUGCCGGCGAUGGUUCAUUCAAAUUUCUGCCCUAUCAACUUUCGAUGGUAGGAUAGUGGCCUACCAUGGUUUCAACGGGUAACGGGGAAUUAGGGUUCUAUUCCGGAGAGGGAGCCUGAGAAACGGCUACCACAUCCAAGGAAGGCAGCAGGCGCGCAAAUUACCCAAUCCCGACACGGGGAGGUAGUGACAAUAAAUACUGAUACAGGGCUCUUUUGGGUCUUGUAAUUGGAAUGAGUACAAUUUAAAUCCCUUAACGAGGAACAAUUGGAGGGCAAGUCUGGUGCCAGCAGCCGCGGUAAUUCCAGCUCCAAUAGCGUAUAUUAAAGUUGUUGCAGUUAAAAAGCUCGUAGUUGAACCUUGGGCCUGGCUGGCCGGUCCGCCUCACCGCGUGCACUGGUCCGGCCGGGUCUUUCCUUCUGGGGAGCCGCAUGCCCUUCACUGGGUGUGUCGGGGAACCAGGACUUUUACUUUGAAAAAAUUAGAGUGUUCAAAGCAGGCCUAUGCUCGAAUACAUUAGCAUGGAAUAAUAGAAUAGGACGUGUGGUUCUAUUUUGUUGGUUUCUAGGACCGCCGUAAUGAUUAAUAGGGAUAGUCGGGGGCAUCAGUAUUCAAUUGUCAGAGGUGAAAUUCUUGGAUUUAUUGAAGACUAACUACUGCGAAAGCAUUUGCCAAGGAUGUUUUCAUUAAUCAGUGAACGAAAGUUAGGGGAUCGAAGACGAUCAGAUACCGUCGUAGUCUUAACCAUAAACUAUGCCGACUAGGGAUCGGGCGAUGUUAUCUUUUUGA
rnacentral:rRNA from 1 species